GCCGAGGCCGAACGGCUCGGCGGAACGGGUGCCCAGGCACCCGACACUUGUACCCAUAUUGCUCAAAGAGGAUGUGGUUAUGAGGA
rnacentral:sRNA from 1 species